UACGUAGGGGGCGAGCGUUGUCCGGAUUUAUUGGGCGUAAAGAGCUCGUAGGCGGUUUGGUAAGUCGGGUGUGAAAUCUCCACGCUCAACGUGGAGGGGCCACUCGAUACUGCCAUGACUCGAGUCCGGUAGAGGAGUGUGGAAUUUCCGGUGUAGCGGUGAAAUGCGUAGAUAUCGGAAGGAACACCAGUGGCGAAAGCGGCUUCCUGGUCCAGCACCGACGUUCAGGCACGAAAGCGUGGGGAGCAAACAGG
rnacentral:rRNA from 1 species